rnacentral:misc_RNA from 1 species
GCAAACUUGGUCAUUUAGAGGAAGUAAAAGUCGUAACAAGGUUUCCGUAGGUGAACCUGCGGAAGGAUCAUUAAAAAAAUGAAGCCGGCCAAAAGGUCGGCAUCAUAAUCCUUUAAUACCUAUGUGCACUUAUUGAACCUUUUUGCUUUGGCAGGAGAAAUCCUGCCAGAGGUAUCCCAUCAAAACCUGAAUGUUUUGACUGACCUUUAUUUCAAAUAAAAUUUUGAAUACAACUUUCAACAACGGAUCUCUUGGCUCUCGCAUCGAUGAAGAACGCAGC